rnacentral:misc_RNA from 1 species
UGCACUCUUCAAAAAGUCGGGGCUUUUAAAUUUCUCAAAAUUUGGCUUUAACUUUCUUUUUUUAACCCUUCAUUUGCUGAGAAAAUUGAUACAUGUUUGGGAGGUCUUCUCCCCCUUGGGAAUUUAUUUAUUUUUCAUUCAACAUUUCUACUGUGUUUCUUUGGUUAUAGAAAUUCAUAAAGGUUUCUUUUGUUUUUGGAACUAAUCUGUCAUGCUAUGUGCAUGAUAAUUGCG